ensembl:lncRNA
UGUAACAGAAGCAAGCUUCAGUAUAUGGUGCUAUAAUGGAGAGCAUCAGUGUGUCAGUGCUCUCUAAUGCAGAGGAGACGUUUUCUUCUUCUUCUUUUUCCAUUUAGCAGCUCCUUGAAAGCUGUCGGCUGGUUGGGGUAUCGAUGGGACAGCUCCAGUUUGGCCACAUUCACCUCUCUCUAGAGUCAGCUUUUACAAGCUUUGGUUAAGUAAAACAAUAUGAAUAAAAUAAGUAAAUACAUUUUAAUUAAUUGUCCAAACAAUCAUUUCUCUAUUUGGUUCCAUGCAGCAUCUCUCUUCUGGGAGUCCCAGGGUACUGGCAGAAACACACAGCAUAUGCCUGUCCCCUAACCCUCCCUGCUUCAUAAGGUCUCUCGCUAUAAAUCUCUCUAUUAUUCCUUCCUCUCUUGGCUACCCAGCAGUGGCAUAGGGCUGGAAUCUGCCACUCAUUAAGGUAAACUGUGCCAAGGCCUGGGUCGCUCGCUGCCAAGACUUUAGUGGGAUGGGAAAAUCAGUGAGUUUGUGUGUGUGAGCUAGUUCCAGGGGUUUUGUAGAGUGGAUGAGAAACAGGAGGGUAUAGACCCUUGGUUCAAUUUCUCAUUCUGGGUCUCCUCAGUUGGUGAUCCACUUGGGAGUGAUAGAUAGAUGGAUUGCAUGUAGGGUGAGGUGGCGGCUGUGUGUGCUACCACGGCACUGACUUGUCUGAACUGUUACAAUGAAAUCGUAAUAUCAAUCCCAAGGGCGUCUCCUUGUUAAGUUGCUUAGACGUUACCCCCCAGCUGGAACCAAAACGGAAAACGUCUGGAAGCAAAAAGCAACCAUUGGUGAGUGACUGACACAAUUUAAUUGUGUUUUAGUCUUAACAUUUCUCAUGAUUAGUAACUGGAAAACUGGAAACUAGAGCGACAUGUCAUCCAAAACUAAAUAGUUUGGUGAUGAGGUACAGAUACAGAGUAGUGCGUGCCGUCUUUUAUUAAUAGUGGAGGGUCUGAUCAUGACCAGAACAUGUGGCUUUAAAUUUGGAUCUCCUGAUGUGGACGGAAAGCUGAUGCAAAUGUAUAUAUUUCGUUGUCAUUCAAAAUGUUAGGUUAGUAGCAAUAACAAUAUUUUGUCCGUAUCAGACUAGUGAGCCAUUGUUCAGCAUGAGAGUUGAGAUAGAAAAUGGGGUAAUGGGAGUUUUUUUGUGUUGAUAUGAUAGGUAAUGUGCUAAUAACAACUUCUAAAGUUAAGCUACACGUAUUGCCAUCCAUCUGUAGCUUGUCAUGAUAAAUAUUGUGUAUCCUUUCAGACCAUUUGUAUUUAUGGAUAUAAAACAGAUCACAACUAAUGAGAAACCUCUGUCCAGUAAAAAUAAUAUUAUUGGAAAUUCAUCGAAGGAGACCUUGCUUUGGGACAGACUGCUCAUGGCAGUUGUUCACUGGGACGGUGUGCAGCUAAAUGUCAAGGGAUGCGUGGGAAGGCAGGACUCAAAUGCAGAGUUUAAAGCAAAAAGACUUUAAUAGUCAUAACUCAACACAAAAUGGUCAGGGGCAAAAAUGCAUGCAGGAACCAGGGGGGAAAAAGGCAGGCAGGAACGAGAGACAUCCAGGACUUUCGACAAUGACGCGACAAGUGACACAAGAGACACACGGCUGAAAUACACUAGGGAGGUGCAGGUGAUUGGACACAGGUGGAAACGAUCAGACAAUCACAGGGGAUGACAGGACAAGGCAAGAAGUGAAGUUACCCGGGGACACGAGUGGCAGAAAACUACAAAAUUAGACAGGAGGUGAACCACACCGUGACAGUUUAGAAUGGGAAUAAUUACUUCCAAGUCUGAAAUUAUUAUUUUCUCUCAUGAAAUAUUGGAUUGCACUCCUCAGUUUGGAGCCAGUCGUUUCAGUCGUCAUAUUUAGUACACAUGCACACCCUCAAACCCAUAUAUUUUAUUUUAUGCCCAACAUAACUGUCUGUAAGUAAUUGCCUGUUGCCAGUUGACUAAAAGAAAAAUACUUUCCCAAUUUUUAAAAUCAAAUUAUUUCAAUAACUACUAGUAAUGAUGGCAAAUUUCUAUAGCGCUUUUAACUGCGUUUAAUACAUUUCAAUCCGGAGAGACUUGUUGAAAUUUGAACAAUGCUUUAUUAUAACAGGUAUAAUAUGAUAUUGCAAGUUGUUUGGGGCUUGGACUCCAUCCUGCCGCAGGAUAGACCCGGGGCCGGGUCCACCUCCCCAUUAUUCUCAACCGAGAAUAACUGCUAGAGCUGCAGCAGCUAACCAAGGCAUUCCCGUGAUAAGCCGGCAGAUGAUAGGGUGGUGGUCGCCGUCUGCUGUGACGCUCCACUUCCGCCCUGACCAUAGCAAGCAAGCAAGCAAAGCAAAGCACUCGCAAGCAAGAUCUGUGAAGCCAUAAGAGCUGGUAAGCAUGCAUAUAACUGGUGCUGGUGGUGGUGUUGCCCUUCUGGCAUUGUUGGAAGGUCACUUCAGGGUCCCCUGGCAGGGGACCACCAUUGUUCCUUACAGUCUCCCUAACAGGUAGCGUUAGGCUAGAAAACGCAGUGUUAGCUUGACUGGUCCGGUUAGCCCGCAACUCUCCAUGAAGUCAGCUGGACUGGUCACGUAAGACCACAAACCUAACUUGAUCCCAGGUUGGCAGGUCAACUGACGGACCUCCUUCAGAACUGCAAACGGGUGAGGUGAGACCAGAUUAUUUAUUUAUUAUUACAGAGUCUAUCACUGCCAUGCAAGGAUGUUUAGGGCCACGAGCGAAGAUCCCCUUGAAUAAACGGUGCGGACUACUUAGAGCUGAACAAACCUGCAUGAAUGAUAUCUGGUACCACGGGCCACCGGGCAAACAAACUGCCGAUAUACAAGAAGCUAUGUGAAUGAUGACAUCAAUAAAUGCAUGACGUACCGAACUUUUAAGGCUUUCCUGAAUCGAACUCGCCGUCCUUGAAGUUGGUGAAUGUGGGGGUUGCAGCAGCCCAACUUCCCAUUGGUGGCAGGGAUGAAUAGGGAAUACCUUGGUUUGUAGUUCCAGCUGCCCCUAAAUAGUUCCCUGAGUACGGUAGGGGCUAACUUCCUUAAGUGGUACAGCCAGUAAGGCAAAGCCUUUUACCCGUGGUUGACGCAUAUAAGUUACCACGCAUAUUAACAACCCCGCUGGAUUGUCACACCAAGGAAUCAACUAAAAAAGGAGAGCCAUGGUCUGGCCUGCCGUGGCUUGAAAUAACCCCCCAAAACACACAGAUGGCCUGCAUCUGUCUUAACAUUGCUGCCCCCGAAAGCCGCUGUUGGAGCCGUGACACUAUCCCAUUGAACCCACUGCCAUCCAACGCUCUGUCAGUGCGGCUCCUGUCCCCAGCUUAGUUGAGGUGGUUGGGACAAAUAAGCCGGCAUGUCCAGCUAGCAGCAUGUGAUGCGUAUGGCGACAAUAAGGCACCUGAGCAGCACUUUAUCCUCACCCAUGCACCCGCAGUGGAUCCUUCUAGCCCGGAAAUUACAAGUUCAAACUACCCGAAGUAUCAAAAUACGUGAGUCAACGUCCCCCUCUGAAGCGCUUCUCUGCUUCGCGCUUCCGUGCUCCUCUGGUUGUAACUAUUACUCCCGUAGUUCGUGCUGAAAUCGCCACUCAAUGCUGAAUGAGUCUACCGUUGACUCAUGCCACCUCUCAGUGUAAACAUUACAUUAUACAUUAUGUUACACCGCGCAACUAACGUCUCGUAGCCGCCAGCUGCGUUCUCGACCGUUGAGCUGCUACUUCACCCUCCCGGAGCGCCGGGCGCCGCGCUGGCAUCACACGGAGGCAGUUAACCGGUAGCUUGUGUCGCGGAUCUUCACCUGAGCCGUUUAGUAUCUGCAUGCCCGCCCGAUGGACGAUCGGGGACAUCGGAUGCCUGUGAAACGCCAAGCCGCUUCAAUCUGCGUGGCUGUGGAGCGUCGCUUGCCACGCUUGUGUUGAGGGCUACGCGGCUGCUUGCUGUGGACGGAAUAUCUGCGCGUUUCCCAGCGUGGAGAUGACGGCGAUGUCCGUCCUCGAUGGCCCGGAGCAUCUGGGGGGGAACACUCCGGGUGCUGCGCUCUCCCGGUUAGACGUAGUGUGCUUGUCGCUCCCCCACAGCGCGAACAGUAACCUCUUAACCACACGCAGAGUGUUUGCUGCCCGCUCUUAAUAAAGCAUUAAUUUGUGCUUUUGCUUAUUGUGGUUCUGGUUCUGUACCCUCUGAUGAAUGCGCGUAUCGUCCCUUAGGAUAAAAGCUUCCGCUGAAUGAACGUUACAUGUAACAUAAUGGGCUGCUUGCGCUUCUCUCGUCCUUCCCCGUGCUGGUGCGGGUGGCAGGGAGGGAUCGACUCGCUCUCUGCCAGCUGUGAGCCUCACCCACUCACACCUGGACAGAGGGAAGCUAGUUGCUUACACCACUUGCUGCCUUGUGCGCGCGUGCUACCACGCCUGCUGCUCGGCGGCGGCUCGGUUUGUUGAGCUAGUUCCUGCCCGAUCGACCGACAUCCAAUCGGACCUUCGGAGUUGACGGCAACGCUGUGGUGUAGGACCCGCUAACUGAAUUUAAGAAAAGUCCAUUACUGCGCAUACCUAAAUUUACUCAAAGCAUGUUGAGUGUUUUUCUUAUGAAUGUUCCAAAUGCCUAGUUACCGUCAGGAAUGUUUCAUACUGACUCACGUACAUAUUCAAAUAAAAAGCAAAAUAUUCAAUGUAAUAGUAAUGUAGAAAUUAGGGUUGUCAAAAUGAAUGCGAAAAAAUAUUUUAAAGUUGAACGCAACUUUGUUUACCCCCAGUGUGCGUCGACCCCUGACCCCUGAAACCGUUGUGUGCUGCAGUCAGUUAAAUGGGAGAGACCGAGACAAUAGUUGAAGAUGGAGAGAGCAUUUUGCAUUUCAAGUAAAACAGAGGAAUUCCUCCAUGUUUCAAACAGAAGGAGGAUGAGUGGCAAAUAGACCACUUUAGGACUGAGAGUGCCCGGAACAUGUUGGUAGCUGCUAGGCUACUUCCAUCUCAACAUUUACCCAGAAGAGGACCAACACUGUGUCACUAAAAUACAGUGGUUUGGAAAACGUCCUCUAAGGCCACAUUUACACAUAGCCCGGGUAUUUACAGAAACAAAUAUUUCUGCCCCUCCGUUUUCAAAAAAGUUUCUGUUUAUAUGAACCCGCAUAAAUACGGCCCCGGGCGCCAUCAUAACUAUGCCAAACCUGUAGUCGGCAGUGUAACGAGAAGGAUAAAGACAUGCAAACCAAUCAGAAUUCUCAAAACAAACAAGUCGCAUACUGUGACGUUUGACAACCUAAAACUCCGUUGGACCAAGUUCACACGCAAACACAAAAGAGUUUUCAGAAAUCUCCACUUUUUUUCCAGAAAUGAUCGUUUUCCGUGAUAAAACCUCUGUUUUUGUGUAAAUGAAAGGCCAAAACGCAUGAAAAUAUAUGCGUUUUCCUAUCGUGUAAACGGGGUCUGAAUCUCGGGAGAUUGUUGGGAACUUCAAAUACAGCCGUCAAAUGAUGGAGAGUUGAGAGCAAAGUGCACGAGGACAACAGAAAUAGUCGCCAGUUCAACAUGUUCCACUCAGUGGAAUUCUUAAUCGGGAUUACUGCAUCUCAAAAUGUGCAAUUAGUUAUUUAUUUAUAUCUAUUGACAACCCUAGUAAAAGGUGAUAAGGUAAGGAUAGAUAAGGUGGUGAUAUAUUUUUGAUAUGUUAUUCAUGCCUCUGUAAUUGUAAUUUUUUAAAUCCAGGUAUCAACAGUGUCUCAUCUUAUUAUAAAAUUGAUACUUUUGUUAUACAAGUAAACCUAAAAAAUAAGUUAACAUUGUUGUAAGGUUGUUUUGAAAAUGAAACAAUGCGUUGGUAUUUGAAGAGUUGGGAGUGAGAAUGUGUUGGAGUGAUACACUAUUCCUUGGAAUAGAUCUGACUAAAGACAACAACUUCUUACCGACUGUGCUUGAUUAAAAAAUAACAAAAAGUACCAUAGAGAUCCGAAACAAAAGUCAAAUUACUGGCAGUGUGCAAAGUACCUGGUGGCAAUCCAGAUUGCCCCUAUGUCAAGUAUCUGACCCAACAUAUAGUAUAGCCUACAAGAUUUAAUGGAUGCACACCAAGGACAUCUAGGCUAUAGACUUUAAUAAUUAACAAUAAUAAUACUAUCAGAUUAAAACUACGCCCUGCAACAGAAUCCACCUGUUCAUCUCUGCUAAUCCAUCACACUUUGCUUGAACCUGACAUACAGGCCUUGGCUUUGCCUCUUCUCGUCAGUGUUCUAUCUUGAGAAUCUUGGUUUUACUCCCAAAGAAGACCAGACAGAGGCAGGAUUGAAUUCAUUAUCUGUUUACUCGCUUGCAUACAACAAAGUAUAAAACACAUUUCCCCUGCUGCAAUGCAGCCCCUUUUUCUACGGGUGCCAGCCACGAACAUAAUACAUAACACUCCUCCCCCCUUAAAUGAAAAAUACCACUCUGAAAUCCUACAAAUAACAUAACCAUUUAAUGCCCCAACAUUUCACCAUACCAGGUCUGGUUGGGUUUUUUUUCUAUGCUACGGAAAUGAGGGUAGACCGCCUCAAAUAAAGACAUAACCCUGUGGUUUAUUCUGCCCCACAGCACCGGUUGUGGACACCCCGUCCCCAGUGAAGACAACACUGAAGUUGGUAUUCCCUGUAGCAGUUGAUCUGUGUGUCUCCUUCAGACCAUGUCCUCAGAUCUAGUUUAGUCAUGAUAUUCUUCAUGCUUCCGUGCUUCGUCUUUAAACACCUCUGUGUACUUUUUUAGGACUGCGGUUGGACCUGGUUCCGCCUUGGAGAUCACGAAGAUGGUUGCCCAGUCAAAAAGCAUCUUUUCCAGCCAUGCACGACCACAGAGAAAUGGAUCAUUGCCUUGCACAAUGUAUAGGGGCGAUGUAGCUGUUUGCUUAUUAAGUUUGACCCCUACCUCAACUAUGCCGCUGACUGGCACUGUUUCACCAGUAGUUGUUCUAUCUGUUUACUCACUUGCAUACAACACCAUAUAAAACACAUUUCCCCUGCUGCAAUGUGGCCCUUUUUUCUACGGGUGCCAUCCAGGAACAUAAUACAUAACAAUCAGUGCCCUGGUGUCCAGACAAUCCCGACAAUUCCUGUUCACAAAUGGGAGGGCAUCCUUUUGUCUUUAUUUGUGAAGAACUGGCGGCACUGGCUGGGUGCAUCAUUCAAUGUGGAAAAUCAUCUCAUAUUCAGAAUUAUUUUGAAGCUUCAGAAAUGUUUAUAUUUGGAUAUUUGUAAGCUUUUUUUAUUCACAUUAUUUACACCAGGAAAAUGGCAUGUCAAUACAUUUUUAUUUAAUUUAUUUUCAUUUAAAUUCGUGUUCUGACGAAUUCCAAUGUUGCCGAUUGUGGCUCAUGAUCUAGACUUGACCAAACACUUAAAAAGACAUCGGCAAAGCACCAUGAUAGAGAAGAUUUGGUCAAAAAAUUGGUGGUGUUAAAAAAAGCCUCAUGUAGCGACUUGAUACAUACAGCGGGUGAAAUAGGUAUUGAACACGUCACCAUUUUUCGCAAUAAAUAUAUUUCCAAAGGAGCUAUUGACAUGAAAAGUAAUACAUACAAAGAAAUCAAAACAAAGAACUUCAGAAAUAAUGUGUAAUAAUGGGAAAUGACACAGGGAAAAAGUAUUGUACACGCUUACUGAUAUUUAUUCAAUACUUUGUACAAAAGCCUUUGUUGGUAAUGACAGCUUCAUGAUGCCUCCUGUAUGGAGAAACCAGUCGCAUGCAUUGCUGUGGUGUGAUUUCAGCCCAUUCUUCCAACAGGAAAUAUAUUAACUGAGAAAAAUGAUGACGUGUUCAAUACUUAUUUCACCCGCUGUAUAUUCCAUAUAUGGCGUAAACACCUGCUUAAAAUACAUAAAAUCUCAAAGAAAUGUUUUUUGCUUAACUGAAGGUUUAUCUUUUUGAGUCCACACCGUAAUUAUUAAGGUAAUAGUCAGUCUUUCAUUUUGAUCCAUUUGUCAUCAAAUUGCAAUACAAAUCCAAAAACUAUCUUACUCCAUAUGCAGAUUUCCCAGCCUUGUACGCUUUCACGAUUUCCAACCAAAUUACACCUUUAUCCCGCCCCUGUAUCCCUACUCCACCAUUUUGUUCUUAUCUGCUUGCCUCAUAUCUCCACAUCCCUUUUUAUUGGGAUUUAUUGCCUUUUAUCACUUUUCAUAUAAAAAGGAUCGAGAGUAUUUCCCCUCCUUUUGGCAAUGUUGCCCAUUUAGGGCAGGGAAUAUUCGCAAUUUCCGAUCCCUCUACUUUUCUUUCCUGACAGUCACAUUAGCAUGUCAUUACUGGGCUUUCUCUGCCAUCCCAAUGGAUCUGAAGCUCCAAGGACCAAGCACUGGAGAGACAAAGGGCACCAGCUGCACCCACUUCUCCUUAUCCAUGUCUUUAUCCCUCCCUCUCUCCUCAUCCAUCUUGUUCUUUUUAUUCCAGUCUUAGCAACAUCCUGACAUCAUGGAUAGGUUUUGAAUUGGCCGGCAGCCGAGACGGUGGCGAUUUUGGCAACUUGUUGUUUUUCAUUUACAUCCGAGCCAUUCAUUUAAUUUUUUCUAUGUGAGAUGAAACAAUACACAAUAUAUGUGAUUAGGCUCAUUCCGCUGGAAGAGUAAUUGGUAUUUAAUCACAAAUAAUAUAGGGUUUUAAUUGAUGAGGCUCAGAAUGGGCAAGCCAAGCUAUGUAAUCACUGGGUUUCAUAUGUCAAUAACCUUCAAAUACAUGUGCGGUCACACAUGUCUCAGCAAGGCCAUAUUGAACACAAUUUCACUAAAUCCCUACAUGAUACUGAUUACUCUUGGAACUACACUUAAGGCAGCUUGGUCUCACUCCAAGAGCGUCAAAUACUGACACUUAGGCAGUGGCCCUCGGCAUCUUGAUACCAACUCACAAGGCAUCCUUCAGCGUUUGUAUGAUACACACCAAGCGUUUAACUAGUAAACCUCAUUAAAUGCAAAAAGCCUAUUGACAGAAAGGAAGCAUGGAUGGGCCAAACAACAGUAAUUUUAGUCAGGGGACUGGCAUUUGCGUAAACGUUAAUAAUUAACUACUGGAUUGCUAUUUAAGAACCUCAGAUAUUAAACCCUACUCAAGGACCAGGUGAAUGUUUAAUUGUAACGACCUCUUUAGAUCUCUCAUCAUACUUAAGAACCCUGCUAGGUCCUAUUGAGUGAUUUUAACAUUCCCAAGUACGUCAAUGAGUCCUGGGGGAUUAUAGUAACUGUCCCUUCAGACCAUCUGUAAUGUCCCUAAGACCUCUGCUUUCCCAAGAGAUUAAAGUCAACUCUCAAAGAUCAUUAAAGGUGUCUAAAAAAUAUUCAAAAAACCAUUGAGUACCUCAAACUCUUGUAAAUUCCUUUCUGAGCACUGUUGGAUGAUCAUAUCUAGAGGUCUUUAAAAAUCCUUAUGUCACUAGCCCCCAGGACCCCUUCAAAAAACCUGGAUUGCAUCAAGGACUCAAGCCAAUUUAAAAACUAUUAUAUCAAAAGAUUUAAAGAAAAGGGGAAAUCAGGGAAGCAGGAGCAAGUGACAGCUUUACUUGAUGAUCGUUCAUGUCAUUUAUCAUUCCAGCAGGACUAAGCCCCGUUGUUAAAACCUGCCAGUCCACUGCUGGACUGACUUAAUCCCCCCCUUCUUAACCGGUGAGACGAGUCGCAUUCUCAUGUAUGAAUAUGUAACGUAGCAAAUCCUAGUACAGAGGGGGCCUGAUAUUCAGUUUUUUAAUCCUUAAUGUGUUCAAUCCUGUGACUGUAACUGGCUGACCUGCCAUGUUAUAGGAGGUUGAACAGAUCAGUGUUGAAGUUAAAUGUUAAAAUUCCCUGUCGGUUAGAAGCUCUGCUGAGUGCUAUCUCGAACCAACUUGUCGCUAUUUAUGUAUGUAUGUGUA